GAUGAACGCUGGCGGCGUGCUUAACACAUGCAAGUCGAACGAUGAAGCCCAGCUUGCUGGGUGGAUUAGUGGCGAACGGGUGAGUAACACGUGAGUACCCUGCCCUUAACUCUGGGAUAAGCCUGGGAAACUGGGUCUAAUACCUGAUAGGAGCGUCCACCGCAUGGUGGGUGUUGGAAAGAUUUAUCGGUUUUGGAUGGACUCGCGGCCUAUCAGCUUGUUGGUGAGGUAAUGGCUCACCAAGGCGACGACGGGUAGCCGGCCUGAGAGGGUGACCGGCCACACUGGGACUGAGACACGGCCCAGACUCCUACGGGAGGCAGCAGUGGGGAAUAUUGCACAAUGGGCGCAAGCCUGAUGCAGCGACGCCGCGUGAGGGAUGACGGCCUUCGGGUUGUAAACCUCUUUCAGUAGGGAAGAAGCGAAAGUGACGGUACCUGCAGAAGAAGCACCGGCUAACUACGUG
rnacentral:rRNA from 1 species